AUUGAACGCUGGCGGCAGGCCUAACACAUGCAAGUCGAACGAGUGGCGGACGGGUGAGUAAUGUCUGGGAAACUGCCCGAUGGAGGGGGAUAACUACUGGAAACGGUAGCUAAUACCGCGUACCAUCGGAUGUGCCCAGAUGGGCUUAGCUUGUAGGUGAGGUAACGGCUCACCUAGGCGACGAUCCCUAGCUGGUCUGAGAGGAUGACCCGCCACACUGGAACUGAGACACGGUCCAGAAGCCUCAGGGAGGCAGUCGUGGGGAAUAGUGCAAAAGUGGCGCAAUCCGGAUGCAGCCAGUGCGCGGGGAUGAAGAAGGCCUUCGGGGUGUAAAGUACUGUCAGCGGGGAGGCGUUACCCGCAGAAGAAGCACCGGCUAACUCCGUGCCAGCAGCCGCGGUAAUUC
rnacentral:rRNA from 1 species